GGUACGCGCCCACACUGGCCCGCGCCCGCACCUGUUGGGCCUCGGUGCGCCGCCGCCGCGUGCUCCCGCGGCCCGGCCUGGGGACGAACCCAGCGCCCGGUGCACUUGGGAGGUGCGGCGCUCCGCAGCCUGCAAAGAGCGGACGUGCCCUUGGCAGGGUAAACGUGGGGGCCACCCGGGCAGGAGGCUGGGAAGCCGGCCCGAUCCAGGGCGGAUCGGGGUGCGCCCUGGGAGACGCCUGGUGUCCAGGGUUAUAGACCACAGACCUUGCCAGGGUGUUGUUACAGCCCCAAGAGGAGACUCAGAAACGCCAAGCCAGAGCUUGCGUCUCAUAAAACCUUAGAGAGACGGCAGACUCGUUGGUCUUCCCUACUACAGCUUUGUCCUCUUUGAGUGGGUGGCAGUAAUAUAAGUUGUUUUGCGUCUGGUUGGUUUAAAUAGUAUAGAAAUGCAAAUUUAGUUUUUGAGAUGGGUAUUGUCCACUACUGUCCACUCAGUGAAUGGAGGGGAAAUAAUCGUACACAGGAGAGCUCCUUAACGGUGAAGGUGAAGUUUAUCAAUAGUGUACAUUUGUUUCCUUCUUUCUAAGUCUCAAAUACUUGAAGUCGGUGACCAUGGUUAUGUGUCAAGCUGUGCCGUGGCUUGUUUAACCUUAUUUGAGGAACUGACGAAUGGGAUAUCUACCUGUGAGCUAGAAUAUAGUUUGUAAGUAGGAUGUAUUUUCACAUAAACGAUCUGGUUGCUCUGUUUAAAAAAAAAAAAAAUCAUCAGUGGAGUCAUAUAGAUGUAAUCUUUUAAAUGAAACCUAAAGAAUGUAAUUCAUUAAAAGAUUUUGCUAUGCAAAUGUUACGUGUUUAUUGUAAAAAAAGUUUAAGAUAAAAAUACUAUCAUAAUUCAAUCAGUCAUAAAAACCCGUUGCCAUCUAGUCGAUUCUGACUCAUAGCGACCCUAUAGGACAGAGUAGAACUGCCCUAUACUGUUUCCAAGGAGCACCUGGUGGAUUUGAACUGUGACCUUUUGGUUAGCAGCUGUAGCUCUUAGCCAGUAUACCACCGGGGUUUCCAUAGGUAACCACGAUUAAUAGCUUGAUUUAUAAAAUUUUUCACAGAUUUAUGUAUAAAUAUGUUUGUAUUUAUUUAUAAAAAUGGACCUCUAUCAUGAAUACUGCUGAGCAAUCUUUGGGAGAGUUAGUACAACAUACUUUUAAGAGCUCAAAUUCUGAGUUCUCAUCCAUAUUCUACACUUAAUAGCUUUAUUUCCUCGUGUAUAAAAUGCAGAUAUUAAUACCUGUCUUACAGGGUUUGACAAAUAAAUGAGAAUGCAUACAGCACAGUGCCUGGUAUGUAAGCACUCAGUAAAUAUUAUGCCUCUUCUUUGUGCACAACGACUAGCCUAAGGUUUGGCAUUUCAAACCCACCUGGUGGUUUUGUUAGAGAUGGGCAAUGGGCACCAAAUGCCUUCUUUGAGUAUAAAAAAAAAAAUUAGACACCAAAAAACAAAAACAAACAAACCCACCGCCAUUGAGUCGAUUCCGACUCAUAGCGACCCUAUAGGACAGAGUAGAAUUGCCCCAUAGGGUUUCGAAGGCUGUAAUGUUUAUAGAAGCAGGUUGCCACGUCUUUGCUGGUGGGUUCAAACCACUGACCUUACGGUUAGCAGCUGAACGCUUAACCACUGUGCCACCAGGGCUUCUUAGGUAUAUUAUAGGUGCAUAUAGUUGGGUCUCGUAUUUUUUUUAAUCCAAUAGGACAAUAUCUGCAUUUUAAUUUGUAUUUAGACCAUUUAUACUUUAUGUAACUAUUGAACUAUCUAUCAGUCAAGGCCCAUUUGAAAGAGAAGCCACACAGUAAUUUGAACAGAAAAAAAUAUAAACAGUAAUAAGCAACAGCAGUUUAACUACUAAGAGGUAAAGAGAUCUCUAAAAAAUACAGGAAUAGCAGAUACAGGGAGCAGCCACUACUUCUAGGCCUGAGGCAGAAUACCCCAAGGAAGGAACAAAUUUGGAAUAGGGCCAUCUCUCUCCAAACUGAGAUUCAGAUGUUGGAGGGGGUGUGGCUGUAGACCACUGGAUGGUGAAGAAGCUGGCUAAAGUGCAGUAGGCAGAGGCUGGCAAGCAGGAAUCUGUCCACUGGAAUCCAGACAAAACUUGCUUGGAGGCUUUAUGACCAGCCUUAUGUGUCAACUUGGUUAGGCUAUAAAACCCAAUUAUUUAGUAAAAAAAUCUGUGUGCUGCUGUGAAUGCGUUUUAUAGAUGUUGUUAACAUCAACCAUCAGUUGACUUUAAAGGAGAUUACCCUUGAUAAUGUGGGUGAGCCUUAUUCAAUCAAGUGACGGCCUUAAGAGCUAAUACUGAGGUUUCAUGGAGAGGAAAUUCCACCUCAAGACUGCGGCAUCAAAUCCUGCUUGAGUUUCCAGCCUGCUGGGUCGCCCUAUAGAACUCAAGACUGCAACAUCAACUCCUGAGGUUCCAGCUUCCUGGCCUGCCCUACAGAUUUUGCACUUCAGACUGCAACAUCAACUCCUGCCUUAGUUUACAGCCCGCUGGCCUCCCCUGCAAACUUCAGAUUUGCCAGUCCCCACAAUCAUGUGAGCCAGUUCCUUAAAAUCAAUCCCUCUCUCUUGAUUUAUAUUUGUGUGUGUGUGUAUAUAUAUAUAUACAUAACACGCACAUACUGAGAAGUCUUCUAGAGGAACAAAAUCUUAAAGGUUAGAAAUUACAGUGGGAACUGCUAUCACUAAACUGGGAUCCUUAAAUGCAUUCAGAAACCAAAUGGCAGCACUCAAUAGCCAAAGACAAGG